rnacentral:rRNA from 1 species
UACGUAGGGUGCGAGCGUUAAUCGGAAUCACUGGGCGUAAAGGGUGCGUAGGCGGGUCUUUUAAGUCAGGGGUGAAAUCCUGGAGCUCAACUCCAGAACUGCCUUUGAUACUGAGGAUCUUGAGUACGGGAGAGGUGAGUGGAACUGCGAGUGUAGAGGUGAAAUUCGUAGAUAUUCGCAAGAACACCAGUGGCGAAGGCGGCUCACUGGCCCGUUACUGACGCUGAGGCACGAAAGCGUGGGGAGCAAACGGG